rnacentral:rRNA from 2 species
UCCUGACUGACCGAUAGUGAACCAGUACCGUGAGGGAAAGGCGAAAAGAACCCCGGCGAGGGGAGUGAAAAAGAACCUGAAACCGUGUACGUACAAGCAGUGGGAGCACGCUUAGGCGUGUGACUGCGUACCUUUUGUAUAAUGGGUCAGCGACUUAUAUUCUGUAGCAAGGUUAACCGAAUAGGGGAGCCGAAGGGAAACCGAGUCUUAACUGGGCGUUAAGUUGCAGGGUAUAGACCCGAAACCCGGUGAUCUAGCCAUGGGCAGGUUGAAGGUUGGGUAACACUAACUGGAGGACCGAACCGACUAAUGUUGAAAAAUUAGCGGAUGACUUGUGGCUGGGGGUGAAAGGCCAAUCAAACCGGGAGAUAGCUGGUUCUCCCCGAAAGCUAUUUAGGUAGCGCCUCGUGAAUUCAUCUCCGGGGGUAGAGCACUGUUUCGGCAAGGGGGUCAUCCCGACUUACCAACCCGAUGCAAACUGCGAAUACCGGAGAAUGUUAUCACGGGAGACACACGGCGGGUGCUAACGUCCGUCGUGAAGAGGGAAACAACCCAGACCGCCAGCUAAGGUCCCAAAGUCAUGGUUAAGUGGGAAACGAUGUGGGAAGGCCCAGACAGCCAGGAUGUUGGCUUAGAAGCAGCCAUCAUUUAAAGAAAGCGUAAUAGCUCACUGGUCGAGUCGGCCUGCGCGGAAGAUGUAACGGGGCUAAACCAUGCACCGAAGCUGCGGCAGCGACGCUUAUGCGUUGUUGGGUAGGGGAGCGUUCUGUAAGCCUGUGAAGGUGUGCUGUGAGGUAUGCUGGAGGUAUCAGAAGUGCGAAUGCUGACAUAAGUAACGAUAAAGCGGGUGAAAAGCCCGCUCGCCGGAAGACCAAGGGUUCCUGUCCAACGUUAAUCGGGGCAGGGUGAGUCGACCCCUAAGGCGAGGCCGAAAGGCGUAGUCGAUGGGAAACAGGUUAAUAUUCCUGUACUUGGUGUUACUGCGAAGGGGGGACGGAGAAGGCUAUGUUGGCCGGGCGACGGUUGUCCCGGUUUAAGCGUGUAGGCUGGUUUUCCAGGCAAAUCCGGAAAAUCAAGGCCGAGGCGUGAUGACGAGGCACUACGGUGCUGAAGCAACAAAUGCCCUGCUUCCAGGAAAAGCCUCUAAGCAUCAGGUAACAUCAAAUCGUACCCCAAACCGACACAGGUGGUCAGGUAGAGAAUACCAAGGCGCUUGAGAGAACUCGGGUGAAGGAACUAGGCAAAAUGGUGCCGUAACUUCGGGAGAAGGCACGCUGAUACGUAGGUGAAGCGACUUGCUCGUGGAGCUGAAAUCAGUCGAAGAUACCAGCUGGCUGCAACUGUUUAUUAAAAACACAGCACUGUGCAAACACGAAAGUGGACGUAUACGGUGUGACGCCUGCCCGGUGCCGGAAGGUUAAUUGAUGGGGUUAGCGCAAGCGAAGCUCUUGAUCGAAGCCCCGGUAAACGGCGGCCGUAACUAUAACGGUCCUAAGGUAGCGAAAUUCCUUGUCGGGUAAGUUCCGACCUGCACGAAUGGCGUAAUGAUGGCCAGGCUGUCUCCACCCGAGACUCAGUGAAAUUGAACUCGCUGUGAAGAUGCAGUGUACCCGCGGCAAGACGGAAAGACCCCGUGAACCUUUACUAUAGCUUGACACUGAACAUUGAGCCUUGAUGUGUAGGAUAGGUGGGAGGCUUUGAAGUGUGGACGCCAGUCUGCAUGGAGCCGACCUUGAAAUACCACCCUUUAAUGUUUGAUGUUCUAACGUGGACCCGUGAUCCGGGUUGCGGACAGUGUCUGGUGGGUAGUUUGACUGGGGCGGUCUCCUCCUAAAGAGUAACGGAGGAGCACGAAGGUUGGCUAAUCCUGGUCGGACAUCAGGAGGUUAGUGCAAUGGCAUAAGCCAGCUUGACUGCGAGCGUGACGGCGCGAGCAGGUGCGAAAGCAGGUCAUAGUGAUCCGGUGGUUCUGAAUGGAAGGGCCAUCGCUCAACGGAUAAAAGGUACUCCGGGGAUAACAGGCUGAUACCGCCCAAGAGUUCAUAUCGACGGCGGUGUUUGGCACCUCGAUGUCGGCUCAUCACAUCCUGGGGCUGAAGUAGGUCCCAAGGGUAUGGCUGUUCGCCAUUUAAAGUGGUACGCGAGCUGGGUUUAGAACGUCGUGAGACAGUUCGGUCCCUAUCUGCCGUGGGCGCUGGAGAACUGAGGGGGGCUGCUCCUAGUACGAGAGGACCGGAGUGGACGCAUCACUGGUGUUCGGGUUGUCAUGCCAAUGGCACUGCCCGGUAGCUAAAUGCGGAAGAGAUAAGUGCUGAAAGCAUCUAAGCACGAAACUUGCCCCGAGAUGAGUUCUCCCUGACCCUUUAAGGGUCCUGAAGGAACGUUGAAGACGACGACGUUGAUAGGCCGGGUGUGUAAGCGCAGCGAUGCGUUGAGCUAACCGGUACUAAUGAACCGUGAGGCUUAACCUU